CUUGGUCAUUUAGAGGAAGUAAAAGUCGUAACAAGGUCUCCGUUGGUGAACCAGCGGAGGGAUCAUUAAAGAGUUGCAAAACUCCCUAAACCAUUGUGAACAUACCUUCAACGUUGCUUCGGCGGGUUGGCUCCGGGUCUCCCGGGGCCCCCGGCCCUACUCGGGCGCCCGCCGGAGGUAUCUAACUCUUGACAAUUGUAUGGCCUCUCUGAGUCUUUGUAUUUAAUAAGUCAAAACUUUCAACAACGGAUCUCUUGGUUCUGGCAUCGAUGAAGAGCGCAGCGAAAUGCGGUAAGUAAUGUGAAUUGCAGAAUUCAGUGAAUCAUCGAAUCUUUGAACGCACAUUGCGCCCGCCAGUAUUCUGGCGGGCAUGCCUGUUCGAGCGUCAUUUCAACCAUCAAGCCCCCGGCUUGUGUUGGGGACCUGCGGCUGCCGCAGGCCCUGAAAUGCAGUGGCGGGCUCGCUGUCACUCCGAGCGUAGUAGUUACAUCUCGCUCUGGGCGUGCUGCGGGUUCCGGCCGUUAAAAGCCUUAUUUACCCAAGGUUGACCUCGGAUCAGGUAGGAAGACCCGCUGAACUUAAGCAUAUCAAUAAGCGGAGGA
rnacentral:misc_RNA from 1 species